rnacentral:rRNA from 1 species
CGCCUGUUUAACAAAAACAUGUCUUUUUGAUUUAAUUUAAAGUCAGGCCUGCCCAAUGAAUUAUUUAAUGGCUGCAGUAUUUUGACUGUACAAAGGUAGCAUAAUCAUUAGUUUUUUAAAUGAAAACUAGAAUGAAAGGUUAAACGAAAAAUUUUCUGUCUCAUGAUAAAAAAUGAACUUUAUUUUUUAGUAAAAAAGCUAAAAUAAAUUUAAAAGACGAGAAGACCCUAUAGAGUUUUAUAUAAUUUUAAUUAAAUAUUUAUUUUUAUUAAAAAUUAUAUUUUAUUGGGGUGAUAGGAAAAUUUAAUAAACUUUUCUUUAUAUUUACAUUUAUAUAUGAUUUUAUGAUCCAUAAUUAAUGAUUAAAAGAAUAAAUUACCUUAGGGAUAACAGCGUAAUUUAUUUUGAGAGUCCUAAUCGAAAAAUAAGUUUGCGACCUCGAUGUUGGAUUAA